rnacentral:lncRNA from 1 species
AAACAAUCGAGUAGAAUGCGGCGGGGGCGCCUCGGGAGCUGCGUCUUGGCUCCGAGUCCGCAGCCGUGCGGGGAGAAAAGCUUUUCCCGAACGUGCUGUGGCGCUCGCACGGGAAAUUGCCUUCAGCCAGAGGAGUGACAAGCUGUGGGGCAAUCUUUGCUCUCAGGGCCCGGGCACUUUCCUUUCACUGGUUCAGCAGAGAUCAACAAGAAGAGGCUGAGUCUGAGAAGUUAACCAUGCAUGGUUCAAGCCACCUGGCAAUGAGCUCUGCAGGCAUAGGAGGCAACCUUUCUGCCUUUAUCAUGAACCUGAGAGCAGUAUAACCAUCUGGCUGGUUAUAAUUUAACAGAAACCCCAUUUUUUAUCUUGCUAUGGUGGUGUGCUUUCUUUUAAAUGUCACCUGUAGAGUUUCCCAAUGAGUGGAGAAGUUUUGCUUUGUAUUUCUUACAGAUACUGACAAAAACUAGUCCACUGGAUUACCAUAAACCUAGCCAUAUUCUUUCUUAGAGGCAUGAGCAAGCUGAAAAGAGUUUGCAGUAACUUUUAUACUUUAAUCAAAAUAUUUUUCAGUAUAUAUUUGUCAUUUUUAACCAGUAGACUCAUUGACUGGUUAUUUUAUUAAUGUUGAAAUCUUACAAUUUUAGAGGAGUUAUUAAGCAAAUAAAUUAAUCUUCAGCUUUCCCA